CAGUGAAAUUGAACUCGCUGUGAAGAUGCAGUGUACCCGCGGCAAGACGGAAAGACCCCGUGAACCUUUACUAUAGCUUGACACUGAACAUUGAGCCUUGAUGUGUAGGAUAGGUGGGAGGCUUUGAAGUGUGGACGCCAGUCUGCAUGGAGCCGACCUUGAAAUACCACCCUUUAAUGUUUGAUGUUCUAACGUUGACCCGUGAUCCGGGUUGCGGACAGUGUCUGGUGGGUAGUUUGACUGGGGCGGUCUCCUCCUAAAGAGUAACGGAGGAGCACGAAGGUUGGCUAAUCCUGGUCGGACAUCAGGAGGUUAGUGCAAUGGCAUAAGCCAGCUUGACUGCGAGCGUGACGGCGCGAGCAGGUGCGAAAGCAGGUCAUAGUGAUCCGGUGGUUCUGAAUGGAAGGGCCAUCGCUCAACGGAUAAAAGGUACUCCGGGGAUAACAGGCUGAUACCGCCCAAGAGUUCAUAUCGACGGCGGUGUUUGGCACCUCGAUGUCGGCUCAUCACAUCCUGGGGCUGAAGUAGGUCCCAAGGGUAUGGCUGUUCGCCAUUUAAAGUGGUACGCGAGCUGGGUUUAGAACGUCGUGAGACAGUUCGGUCCCUAUCUGCCGUGGGCGCUGGAGAACUGAGGGGGGCUGCUCCUAGUACGAGAGGACCGGAGUGGACGCAUCACUGGUGUUCGGGUUGUCAUGCCAAUGGCACUGCCCGGUAGCUAAAUGCGGAAGAGAUAAGUGCUGAAAGCAUCUAAGCACGAAACUUGCCCCGAGAUGAGUUCUCCCUGACUCCUUGAGAGUCCUGAAGGAACGUUGAAGACGACGACGUUGAUAGGCCGGGUGUGUAAGCGCAGCGAUGCGUUGAGCUAACCGGUACUAAUGAACCGUGAGGCUUAACCUUACAACGCCGAAGCUGUU
rnacentral:rRNA from 1 species